UACGUAGGGGGCAAGCGUUGUCCGGAUUUACUGGGCGUAAAGCGCGCGUAGGCGGAGCGUUAAGCGUGGCUUGAAAGCCCCCGGCUCAACCGGGGAAGGUGGCUGCGAACUGGCGCUCUUGAGGGCGAGAGAGGGGGGCGGAAUUCCUGGUGUAGCGGUGAAAUGCGUAGAGAUCAGGAGGAACACCCGUGGCGAAGGCGGCCCCCUGGGUCGGCCCUGACGCUGAGGCGCGAAAGCGUGGGGAGCGAACAGG
rnacentral:rRNA from 1 species